rnacentral:rRNA from 1 species
ACCCAAGGUUUCCUGGGCAAUGAUUUUCAUCUCAGGGUUAGUCGGGAGCUAAGUCCAGGCCGAUUGGCGUAGGCGAUGCACAGCGGGUUAAUAUUCCCGCACCGGCUUUGGUUAAACCAUGAUGUGCGCGGUAUCUGAGAGAGCCUGCCGGCUGAAAGUGGCAGCAGAGUGCGGGGUAACCCAAUCUCGGUCUCUUGAUUUGACCGCCUAGAAAAGCAUUAUGGCCCUUUCCAAGGCCGCCCGUACCGCAAACCGACACAGGUGGGUGUGUAGAAUAUACCAAGGCGUAAGAGUGAAACCUCGUUAAGGAACUCUGCAAUCUAGUCCCGUAACUUCGGAAGAAGGGAUGCCCAAGCUUGCUUGGGUCGCAGUGAAAGGGGACAACCGACUGUUUAUCAAAAACACAGCAUUGUGCCAAGACGAAAGUCCAAGUAUACGAUGUGACACGUGACCAAUGCCGAAAGAUUAAGGCAAGGGGUUAGCCGCAAGGCGAAGCUCUGAACCUAAGUCCCGGUGAAUGUCGGCCGUAACAAUAACGGUCCUAAGGUAGCGAAAUUCCUUGUCGGGUAAGUUCCGACCUGCACGAAUCGUGUAACGAGUUGUCCGCUGUCUCAACGAGGGGCUCAGUGAAAUUGUAAUAGCAGUGAAGAUGCUGCUUACCCGCGGAAGGACGGAAAGACCCUAUGCACCUUAACUGUAAGCUGUCACUGUUCGUUUGGUUUCUAUGCUUAGCGUAAGUGGGAGGCUUUGAAGUGUUACUUUCGGGUAACAUGGAGCCAACGAUGAAACACCACCCUUAGGUAUUGAACGAUCUAACCGCGGCCCGUAACCCGGGCGUGGGACCAUGUCAGCCGGUCAGUUUUACUGGGGCGGUAUCCUCCCAAAGAGUAACGGAGGAGCGCGAAGGUUGGCUCAGCGUGGUUGGCAAUCACGUGUUGAGUGCAUUGGCAUAAGCCAGCCUAACUGUGAGACCUACAAGUCGAACAGACACGAAAGUGGGCCAAAGUGAUCCGGCGGUUUAAUGUGGAAUUGCCGUCGCUUAACGGACAAAAGGUACGCUAGGGAUAACAGGCUGAUCUUGCCCAAGAGUUCAUAUCGACGGCAAGGUUUGGCACCUCGAUGUCGGCUCAUCGCAUCCUGGGGCUGGAGAAGGUCCCAAGGGUCCGGCUGUUCGCCGGUUAAAGCGGUACGCGAGCUGGGUUCAGAACGUCGCGAGACAGUUCGGUCCUCUAUCCUCUGUGGGCGCAGGAAAAUUGAGGGGUUUAAUUCCUAGUACGAGAGGACCGGAAUUAACGCACCUCUGGUGUUCCAGUUGUUCUGUCAAGAGCAUCGCUGGGCAGCUAUGUGCGGAAGGGAUAAGCGCUGAAAGCAUCUAAGCGCCAAGCCCAUCCCAAGAUUAAUUUUCCCUGAAGGAUCGUGGAAGACUACCACGUUGAUAGGUCCCCGGUGUAAGCGCAGUAAUGCGUUCAGCUGAGUGAUACUAAUCAUCCGUUCGU